CCAGCGGUCCGGCCGGGAACUCAAAGGAGACUGCCAGUGAUAAACUGGAGGAAGGUGGGGAUGACGUCAAGUCAUCAUGGCCCUUACGACCAGGGCUACACACGUGCUACAAUGGCGCAUACAAAGAGAAGCGACCUCGCGAGAGCAAGCGGACCUCAUAAAGUGCGUCGUAGUCCGGAUUGGAGUCUGCAACUCGACUCCAUGAAGUCGGAAUCGCUAGUAAUCGUGGAUCAGAAUGCCACGGUGAAUACGUUCCCGGGCCUUGUACACACCGCCCGUCACACCAUGGGAGUGAGUUGCAAAAGAAGUAGGUAGCUUAACCUUCGGGAGGGCGCUUACCACUUUGUGAUUCAUGACUGGGGUGAAGUCGUAACAAGGUAACCGUAGGGGAACCUGCGGUUGGAUCACCUCCUUACCUUAAAGAA
rnacentral:rRNA from 1 species